rnacentral:rRNA from 1 species
GACGAACGCUGGCGGCGUGCUUAACACAUGCAAGUCGAACGGAAAGGCCCUGCUUUUGUGGGGUGCUCGAGUGGCGAACGGGUGAGUAACACGUGAGUAACCUGCCCUUGACUUUGGGAUAACUUCAGGAAACUGGGGCUAAUACCGGAUAGGAGCUCCUGCUGCAUGGUGGGGGUUGGAAAGUUUCGGCGGUUGGGGAUGGACUCGCGGCUUAUCAGCUUGUUGGUGGGGUAGUGGCUUACCAAGGCUUUGACGGGUAGCCGGCCUGAGAGGGUGACCGGCCACAUUGGGACUGAGAUACGGCCCAGACUCCUACGGGAGGCAGCAGUGGGGAAUAUUGCACAAUGGGCGGAAGCCUGAUGCAGCAACGCCGCGUGCGGGAUGACGGCCUUCGGGUUGUAAACCGCUUUCGCCUGUGACGAAGCGUGAGUGACGGUAAUAGGUAAAGAAGAACCGACUAACUACGUG